UACGAAGGGGCUAGCGUUGCUCGGAAUCACUGGGCGUAAAGGGUGCGUAGGCGGGUCUUUAAGUCAGGGUGAAAUCCUGGAGCUCAACUCCAGAACUGCCUUGAUACUGAAGAUCUUGAGUUCGGGAGAGGUGAGUGGAACUGCGAGUGUAGAGGUGAAAUUCGUAGAUAUUCGCAAGAACACCAGUGGCGAAGGCGGACUCACUGGACCGGUACUGACGCUGAUGCGCGAAAGCGUGGGAGC
rnacentral:rRNA from 1 species